rnacentral:tRNA from 1 species
GCCCGAGUGAUGGAAUAGGUAGACAUACAGGACUUAAAAUCCUGGGGACGCAAGUCCGUGCCGGUUCAAUUCCGGCCUCGGGUA